rnacentral:rRNA from 1 species
GACGGGGGAUGCAGGCGUUCUCCGGAAUCCCUGGGCGUAAAGCGUCUGUAGGUGGUGAUGCAAGUCACUGGUGCAAAACUCUGGCUCAACCGGAGGAAAGCCAGUGAAACUGCAUGACUAGAGUGUGGGAGAGGUAGAAGGAAUUCCCUGAGUAGCGGUGAAAUGCGUAGAUACAGGGAAGAACACCGGAGGCGAAAGCGUUCUACUGGAACACAACUGACACUGAGAGACGAAAGCUAGGGGAGCGAAUGGG